GCGUCCUUAGCUCAGCUGGAUAGAGUACCUGGCUACGAACCAGGCGGUCUGAGGUUCGAGUCCUCCAGGACGCGCCA
rnacentral:tRNA from 1 species